GUUGGCAUUUCUUGAAGGAAGCACUCCAUCUUCGGUGCGAGCCCCUGCUGCAGGAAGGAAGGCAAAGCCAGACACGGGCACAGGCACAGCAGACUGGGAUGCUGGGAAGGUUCCUCCAUUAGCCUGGCGCUCUGAAGUUGUGAAGCCCUCUGGUCAUUCUGCAGCUGUGUCUGAAGGGACAACUCCACCAACUCCUACCUUGGAUGCUGCACAAAAGGCCAGCUCCCAUGGCAGGGGUCCACCCACAGGAGAGACCAAAGACAUGGCAGGCAAGAAAUUCCAGGACCCAUUAGAAAUCUUGUGGCAAAUGCUGAAGGAACGUCUGCAGAGAA